CCCUUCAGAGGGGGACAACAGUUGGAAACGACUGCUAAUACCGCAUACGAUCUGACCUCGGCAUCGAGGAUAGAUGAAAGGUGGUCUCUAUUUAUAAGCUAUCACUGAAGGAGGGGAUUGCGUCUGAUUAGCUAGUUGGAGGGGUAACGGCCCACCAAGGCGAUGAUCAGUAGCCGGUCUGAGAGGAUGAACGGCCACAUUGGGACUGAGACACGGCCCAG
rnacentral:rRNA from 1 species